UUAUUAAAAUAUGAAUUAUAGCAACAUUCAAAAUUAAUAGUCCAAAAUCUGAAUUUGAGCAAAACAGAAGAAUUUGAGCACUUAUACCAUAACACGUUAAAUUGAAUAACCGGCAACCAAUGGUGGUACAAAAAAUAAAUAAAAAUUUCUCACCGAAUUUCUCUUAACAUACUUCACACUUCACAUGGUUGCUGCAAAAUAAAAUUAGUAGCAAUCCCGCAUAGAAUAAUUUAAUUGGUCCCAAUAUUU
rnacentral:lncRNA from 1 species